rnacentral:rRNA from 1 species
UGGAGGGCAAGUCUGGUGCCAGCAGCCGCGGUAAUUCCAGCUCCAAUAGCGUAUAUUAAAGUUGUUGCAGUUAAAAAGCUCGUAGUUGAAUUUCGGGGUCAGUAGGUUGGUCGUGCCACUGGUAUGCACUGGUCUCACUGAUUCCUCCUUCCUGAUGAACCGUAAUGCCAUUAAUUUGGUGUUGCGGGGAAUCUGGACUGUUACUUUGAAAAAAUUAGAGUGUUUAAAGCAGGCUAACGCUUGAAUACAUUAGCAUGGAAUAAUGAAAUAGGACGUUCGAUCCUAUUUUGUUGGUUUCUAGGAUUGACGUAAUGAUUAAUAGGGAUAGUUGGGGGCAUUAGUAUUCAAUUGUCAGAGGUGAAAUUCUUGGAUUUAUUGAAGACUAACUACUGCGAAAGCAUUUGCCAAGGAUGUUUUCAUUAAUCAAGAACGAAAGUUAGGGGAUCGAAGACGAUCAGAUACCGUCGUAGUCUUAACCAUAAACUAUGCCGACUAGGGAUCGGAUGAUGUUAAUUUUUUAAUGACUCAUUCGGCGCCUUACGGGAAACCAAAGUGUUUGGGUUC